rnacentral:misc_RNA from 1 species
AACGCACAUUGCGCCCUCUGGUAUUCCGGGGGGCAUGCCUGUUCGAGCGUCAUUACAACCCUCAAGCUCUGCUUGGUAUUGGGCGACACCCUCUGGGGUGCGCCUCAAAAUCAGUGGCGGCGCCACUCGGCUUCAAGCGUAGUAAUUCUUCUCGCUCUGGAGGACCGGGUGUGUUCUUGCCAACAACCCCCAAUUUUUCUAGGUUGACCUCGGAUCAGGUAGGGAUACCCGCUGAACUUAA